GACGUAGGGCGCGAGCGUUGUCCGGAUUUAUUGGGCGUAAAGAGCUCGUAGGCGGUUUGUCGCGUCGACUGUGAAAACUGGGGGCUUAACUCUCAGCUUGCAGUUGAUACGGGCGGACUUGAGUUCGGUAGGGGAGACUGGAAUUCCUGGUGUAGCGGUGAAAUGCGCAGAUAUCAGGAGGAACACCGGUGGCGAAGGCGGGUCUCUGGGCCGAAACUGACGCUGAGGAGCGAAAGCGUGGGGAGCAAACAGG
rnacentral:rRNA from 1 species